UACGGAGGGGGCUAGCGUUGUUCGGAAUUACUGGGCGUAAAGCGCACGUAGGCGGCUUUGUAAGUUAGAGGUGAAAGCCCGGGGCUCAACCCCGGAAUUGCCUUUAAGACUGCAGAGCUAGCAGGUGAGAGAGGUAAGUGGAAUUCCGAGUGUAGAGGUGAAAUUCGUAGAUAUUCGGAAGAACACCAGUGGCGAAGGCGGCUUACUGGCUCAUACUGGACGCUGAGGUGCGAAAGCGUGGGGAGCAAACAGG
rnacentral:rRNA from 1 species